AGAAUCAACGCUGGCGGCGUGCCUAACACAUGCAAGUCGCACGAGAAAGGGACUUCGGUCCUGAGUACAGUGGCGCACGGGUGAGUAACACGUGAAUCAUCUACCUUCGAGUGGGGAAUAACUGAGAGAAAUCUUAGCUAAUACCGCAUAAUACCUACGGGUCAAAGCAGCAAUGCGCUUGAAGAGGAGUUCGCGGCAGAUUAGUUAGUUGGCGGGGUAAUGGCCCACCAAGACGAUGAUCUGUAUCCGGCCUGAGAGGGCGCACGGACACACUGGAACUGAAACACGGUCCAGACUCCUACGGGAGGCAGCAGUGGGGAAUUUUGCGCAAUGGGGGAAACCCUGACGCAGCAACGCCGCGUGGAGGAUGAAAUCCCUUGGGAUGUAAACUCCUUUCGAUCGGGAAGAUAAUGACGGUACCGAGAGAAGAAGCCCGGCUAACUCGCGCCAGCAGCCGC
rnacentral:rRNA from 1 species